UUUUCCUCACAGAACUCCUUUCUGUGUGUGUUCCAGGUGCCAACCUGAAAGGAGUGGCCAUGGAGGGCAGUCAGAUGACAGGAAUUAACCUCCGAGUUGCAACGCUGAGAAACCAAACUAAAGAACUGUAACCUCAGGGGAGCAACGUUGGCAGGAACUGAUUUGGAAGUGAGUUAGGAUUCAUUUUCCAUCCUAUUCCUUUCUCUCCUCUAGUCAGCUGGGAAUUUGGGGGAUUGCUGGCUUUUGGCUGACCUCUUCAGCUUCAGAGUACAAUGGAGUUCAGGUUGUGACCUCCAGGAGGCCAAUUUGAGGGGCUCUGAUGUGAAAGGAGCCAUCUUUGAAGAGAUGCUGACCCCCCUGCACAUGUCCCAGAGCGUCAGAUAGGGAAGAGAACACGUCGAAGAGGAAGGAAUCCAAACAUUUGUUGUGACUUUCUUCACCUCCUCCCCUUCCUGAGUUAGAAGGAAUGGUUAUUAGACAACUUCCAUUUGCAGUAGUGCCUAAGUAGACUCUUUCUGAUCA